UGAAAAAAGUGGAUUAACAGAUAACAUAAAUAUAAUAAUUAAAAUUGUCAGUUAUACUAAUUGCGCCUUAUGAAGCUUUGUUUUAGUAUAAAUACCGAGAUGUUUUGAGUUACUUUAUUUGAAGAGUACCUGCCGUCAAUAAUCAACGAUUCAUAAUGAAGUGGUGCUUUGUUUUCAUGAUGCUCGCCAUUGCAUUUGUUGGUUUCAGCGCAGCUAAUCCUUCUCCGUAUACAGUCCACGCUAAAUCACGUUGCAAUGCCCAGAAAUGCAGGGACCAAUGUUUAUUUCAAGGUCAUUCAAGGGGAGUAUGCGAAUCCAGCGUCUGUAGUUGUAAAAUUAGCAAAAUGAUUGGAAACACGAACGUGAAUAAAUAAAUUUUGUUCCUCCGAUAAUAA